CAAAAAAAUAAAUAUAAUAAAAAGAAACGACAACGUCGCUCCGCUGCGCCUUGCGCUGAGUUUCUUUUCGUUUCGUUUCGCCUCGCUUUGGUUUCGGAUUCAGAUUCGCAUUAAAAAUCAGCUAAAACUUAAUAAACAUUUGGGAUAUUUCUUUCGGGAAAACUUAAGAACACAACAAUUGUGGAAAACAGCUGUACCAGAAAGAGUUAAUAACUGUUAGUUGUUGAAAGCCAAUGCGCAAGAAAUUACAUUUCAGUCAGUUAUUUCGAAUAAUCAUGUGAAAAUGACAUGUUUUUUGGGUACUCAUUGAAGUCAAUAAGAAAGAAGCAAAGGCUAAAGAGCAAAGUUUUAAUAUAAUUUCAAUCAAAACAAGAAGAAAACGAACAAAUUGAACAAAACUAAAUAAGACAAAACUAAAUAA
rnacentral:sRNA from 1 species